UGAUUGCUAACCAUGUUUUGCAAACUGAUUUGCAUCGAAGGAGUGUUGCUACAGGUAACAAAUAAAAUGUUUUGUGAGAAGACAUGAUUAGGAGGGAUUCGAAUAAUGUAACUAUAUAUGGUAGAUAAAUAGCGGAUCUUACAGCAUCUUCGAGGGGAAGAACAUGCUCAGUGGGCGUAUCAGUGUUGCAUUCUGCCAUUUUUCCAAUGGGAGCCUCUUCAAUCUCCUCAUUCUGGGAAUCCUGAUUUUUUUGAAGAAGGCAAGUAGAAUGAAAAAGGUGAAGGCAAUGGACUUGACGAAGCAGAUUUCCGUCUUCGUAUGCGCCUGGGGCAUAUGCAACACCAUACCUAUGACUAGCAGAGCAAAAUAUGAGUUCAUUAGAUAAAUAUAGCUUCAUCAAAACUGAUAAUGAACAUCUAGGUUUAUAAUUCUAGUGAAAAUAAAAGUUUACAAUGUUCUGCUAAAGCACUACAAUGUUCACAUGUUCUCUUGGAAGCUAGGAGAAGUUAUGAUUGUCCUCCAUUUUCAAUAUUGUUUAUUUUUCGGUGACAGCAGAAAGUUUGCAACAAUAUCUGCAAGCACGACAUAAUUAAAAUUAAAUAAAAAAAUAUUACCAGCAUAAUAUGUUGUCAUGUAUCAUUGAUCCAUCUUCUUGGAGCAUUUUCUUCAUUAUUUGCUGCAAUUAUGUAAAAGUUAGAGAAACCAUGUGAGGAUGAUGUAAAUUUUCUAAUAUCGUAUAGAAAUAAACAAAUUGAAUAAGGACUACAAAUUACAAAGACAUGAGAGUAUUUUUAGGGGUGUUAUUAAAAAUUAAAUCAAACAAUGAUGAAACAAUAGUUUUAAUUGGAUUUGAUAUUUCAAGAAGUAUAUUGGUAUAAGAGAUAUUAAAAAAAUUAAGGCAUUUACAAUUUUAAAAAUAUAGUGAAAAUUGUGUGUGUGAUAUUGAAGAAUAAAGUAAGAAGUAAAAUGUCAAGGGUUGGGCAAAAGUCGGGUCGGGUUAAAAGACCAUAAACAAAAGGAGUAAUAAAAUAAAAGCAAUCCAAAAUCCAAAUUAGUGGGGGCUUAGGGUUGCAUUAUCUAUCAUUUGGGUCCAAAUCCAUGACCAAGUAAGAUGACUUGAUGUCAAAAUGAAUUAUUAAAUUUACUUUAUCCCGAUUAGAGCUAGAGGAAUAUGAAAAAUUUAAAAUACAACAAUUUGGGAAAUGAUUUCCCAAAUGGAGAUAUUAAAUCACAAAUAGAAUAAAUAUUAUCAUAAUUCUCUUACUCUUUUCAACGGAACUUGAAGUAGGUUGCGAGAUCUGAGAUUAAUCGGAAGAUCCAGAAUCUGUAUUGAGUGUUUAAGCUUCCACGAAAAUCUAAAAAAUUCAUAAAAAGGCUUGAAGAAGAUGAUGAUUGAGCGUAAAUUGAGAAUAUCAAGGUGAUUUCCUCGAUUUUUAUGGAAUGGAUGCUUUAAACUCAAAAACAUAACAGUUGUUGCAUCCGAGGAAUUGUCGAAGGUAGAACCCUAAAAGUUGGAAGGGGUUUUUAAGAAGAAAAGGAUUUGAAGAAUUUUAGAGAAAGACUUUGCUAUGCUUGAGGUGAAAUGAAUUUACAUAUAUUGCACAUAUCUUAUAAAGAAGUAGUACCGGUUGUAACCGGUCAAAGGAAAGAUUACUGCUUAUAGACGGUAAAAAGGCUACAGCCCAAAUGCUUACAAGUAUGAGACCUGAUUUAUGCAAGAAGCCCACUAUAUUAAAAAUUUAAACAAGCUUCGAGAAAAUUCUAAGGAAUUCGAGAGAAUUCUUAGUAAAUAGAUCUGGUCUGAAGGGAAGAUUUAUCCUAGUUGUGGAAAAAUUAUAGCUUUCCAUGUCGAGGUGAUUGAUGGUUUGAUCCAUUAAGAAGGAAAAUAAAGUAAACAUUUUUUUUUCCAACAAAAAAGAAGUGAAAGACCAACCCACGGGGAGCAUUCAUCAUGGGUGUAAUCAAGAUUUUUGGGUGGGAUUUUCUUCAUCCAAGUUCUAUAUACAGUCAAAUUCUAUUUUUUCCUAAAAAUAAAAAGAAUAUAAAAAAUAGAAUUUACGUAAGUUAUUCAAAAUUCGGUGAAAAUCACCACUUGGCAAAUAAGUAUCCCAAGCGGGAUAAAAAAAAAUACACUGAGGGGCAGUCUGCACAUAUUCUUACUUAAGAAUGCACGAGAUACAUGUUCAGAAGAUAAAUGUUACUCAAAAGUUUUUGUUUUUUCUCUAUUUUUACGGUAAUGACAUUAUCCACCGGGACAAUACUCGUACAAGAGCUUCCUAAACAAGGCAAAUACAAAAAAAAGUAGCACUAAUACUUUACAUUAUUUUAUGCUAUGCAUUGUGAUUAAUCAAGGAUCCGAUCCUGCACUCCGGAAUUGAAGUAUUUACAUGCAUUCUUAUUCUGCUCUAUCCAAUAUUCUUUGCUUAAGUAUCCGAUCCCCCACUCAAGAAUUAUAUUCUUUUACUUCCUUGCUAUAUAAGGUCAUCAUGAUGCCAAGCUUACGGUCACUCUGUAAUUGAAGCAUAUACAGUAAGAAGAAAAUGAGUGAAACAGUUUUAGAGUUGCCAAGGUUUGUUGAGUUCCGGUCACAAUAUAGCAAUAACUUCUGUGGACGAAAAUCCUAAAACAAUCCGUCUUACCAAUGUUCAUGUCAAAAGCAAUUUGUGCUUGUGGCGAGCAGAGGGACCGUAUUAUGAAUGCGUGGCUGCAGGCUACUCAGUUCGGGAUUCUGCAAGCUGCGAUGUGUUUAAUGUCAUCGAUUGGCAGUCACUGGUGCUAAGGGUGACAAUGGUAAGUUUCUUCGGGCACUGUGGUUUCAAAAGCAUAACUAUCUUCAGUUUUUGGUGACUAAUGUGGAAGAUAAUCCGAUGCUAGUGGGGAAUGAGAUCUAUACGGACAUGCUUCACUGUAAUUUCCCCUCUUUCAAUACACUCGCGAGAGAAAUGAAACACUAUAUCAAAGUGUUUGCUCCUCUUGACAUGCUGCUCUGGUUGCUGCCAUAAACGCCUUACAUGAAUAUGGUGCGACAUUUGUGAAGCCCAAGAUAUUAAGCAUGCCAUCCGUGCUCCUUUUAUAAUUACCAAACACAGUUAAGUCACUCUACGAAUAACCAAAUUCAAAGUUAAUUGUGAGGAUCGCAUCCACUAUAGAUUGAUGUUAAUCAAACACAAUAACAAGCACACAAGUAAAGAACACAUACAAUAAACGUGGAAACCUCUCGAGGGAGGGUAAAAUCACAAACCACUAAAUAAGAAUGUAUUACAGGAUUGGAGUCGCCCCCUCACUCACACUCUAAAAUACAAGCACCACACAUGAUUUCAAUCCCCUGACAACUUGGAGAACCGUCAUUGUCACUUAGCAAUUCAAGUAUCAACUUGGAGGAGGGUUUUUGCUUCAUGAUCAUCAAUCAUGAUUUGGUGAUAUAUCUCUUGCAACUUCCAUUACGCUACUAGGUUGUCUUUUCUGGGAUUCGAUGCAGUGAGCUUUGACAAAAUCAGGGUCUGAUAUGAUUGCUAACCAUGUUUUGCAAACUGAUUUGCAUCGAAGGAGUGUUGCUACAGGUAACAAAUUAAAUGUUUUGUGAGAAGACAUGAUUAGGAGUGAUUCGAAUAAUGUAACUAUAUAUGGUAGAUAAGUAGCGGAUCUUACAGCAUCUUCGAGGGGAAGAACAUGCUCAGUAGGCGUAUCAGUGUUGCAUUCUGUCAUUUUUCCAAUGAGAGCCUCUUCAAUCUCCUCAUUCUGGGAAUCCUGAUUUUGUUGAAGAAGGCAAGUAGAAUGAGAAUGGUGAAGGCAAUGGAGUUAACGAAGCAGAUUUCCAUCUUCGUAUGCGCAUGAGGCAUAUGCAACACCAUACCUAUGACUAGCAGAGCAAAAUAUGAGUUCAUUAGAUAAAUAUAGCUUCAUCAAAACUGAUAAUGAAAAUCUAGGUUUAUAAUUCUAGUGAAAAUAAAGGUUUACACUAAAACAACACUACUAGAGUCCUGCAAAUGUUUAUUAACUUCCUGCAAAUGAGAAUUGAAUGUGAAACCUAAAUUAAAACAAGUAAUACAAUGUUCUGCUAAAGCACUACAAUAUUCACAUGUUCUCUUGGAAGCUAGGAGAAGUUAUGAUUGUCCUCCAUUUUCAAUAUUGUUUUUUUUCGGUGACAGCAGAAAGUUUGCAACAAUAUCUGCAAGCACGACAUAAUUAAAAUUAAAUAAAAAAAUGAUUACCAGCAUAAAAUGUUGUCAUAUAUCAUUGAUCCACCUUUUUGGAGCAUUUUCUUCAUUAUUCGCUGCAAUUUUGUAACAUAUAUAUAUGUAUUAGAAUCAAGAUGAUAUGUCUACAAUAUCUUCUAGUUAAAAAUUUUAAGAUGCAAAUGUCAAGGGUUGGGCAAAAGUCGGGUCGGGCUAAAAGACCAUAAACAAAAGGAGAAAUAAAAUAAAAACAAUCUAAAAUCCAAAAUAGUGAGGGCUUGGGGUUGCAAUAUCUUUCAUUUGGGUCCAAAUCCAUGACCAAGUAAGAUGGCUUGAUGUCAAAAUGAAUUAUUAAAUUUACUUUAUCCCGAUUAGAGCUAGAGGAAUAUGGAAAAAUUUAAAAUACAACAAUUUGGGAUAUGAUUUCCCAAAUGGAGAUAUUAAAUCACAAAUAGAAUAAAUAUUAUCAUAAUUCUCUUACACUUUUCAACGGAACUUGAAGUAGGUUGCGAGAUCUGAGAUUGAUCGGAAGAUCCAGAAUCUGUAUUGAGUGUUUAAGCUUCCACGAAAAUCUAGAAAAUUCAUAAAAAGGCUUGAAGAAGAUGAUGAUUGAGCGUAAAUUGAGAAUAUCAAGGUGAUUUCCUAGAUCUUUAUGGAAUGGAUGCUUGAAACUGAAAAACAUAACAGUUGUCGCAUUCGAGGAAUUGUCGAAGGUAGAACCCUAAAAGUUGGAAGGGGUUUUCAAGAAGAAAAGGAUUUGAAGAAUUUUAGAGAAAGACUUUGCUAUGCUUGAGGUGAAAUGAAUUUACAUAUGUUGCACAUAUUUUAUAAAGAAGUAGUACCGGUUGUAACCGGUCAAAGAAAAGAUUACCGCUUAUAGACAGUAAAAAGGCUACGGCCCAAAUGCUUACAAGUAUGAGACCUGAUUGAGGCAAGAAGCCCACUAUAUUAAAAUUUUAAACAAGCUUCGGGAAAAUUCUAAGGAAUUCGGGAGAAUUCUUAGUAUAUAACGAAAACUAUUAACCAAAUGACCCAAGUAAAAAGAUAAUCCUGAUUAGUGGUUAUGACGAAUGAUUGUCGAUCUCGUUAAAUUAGGUGUCUGGCUUUAACUCUAAAGUCUAUUUUUAUGAAGUAUACCCUUAACCAUGUAAUUCAUUCUAUUGAGCAAAAUAAGGUUAAAAAGAAUUCGUCCGAAAAAUAUUAAAGAUCGGGCCUACAAAGUAUAGAAAUAAAUCUGGUCUGAAGGGAGGAUUUAUCCUAGUUGUGGAAAAAUUAUAACUUUCCAUGUCGAGAUGAUUGACGGUUUGAUCCAUUAAGAAGAAAAAUAAAAUAAAAUUUUUUUUUUCCAACAAAAAAAGAAGUGAAAGACCAACCCGCAUGGAGCAUUCAUCAUGGGUGUGGCUUAAUCAAGAUUUUUGGGUGGGAUUUUCUUCAUCCAGGUUCUAUCUACAGUUAAAUUCUAUUUUUUCCUAAAAAUAAAAAGAAUAUAAAAAAUAGAAUUUACAUAAGUUAUUCAAAAUUCGGUGAAAACCCCCACUUGGCAAAUAAGUAUCCCAAGCGGGAUAAAAAAAAUACACUGAGGCACAGCCUGCACAUGUUCUUACUAAAGAAUGCACGAGACACAGUUCCUCAAAAGUUUUUUUUUUUUUUUCUUUUUUACGGUAAUGACAUUAUCCACCGGGACAAUACUCGUAUAAGAGCUUCCCAGACGGUUGUAUCCACCGGGAUAAAUUGUGUUCUAUUUUUACUCUAAACAAGGCAAAUACAAAAAAGUAGCACUAAUACUUUACAUUAUUCUGCUCUAUCCAAUAUUCUUUGCUUAAGUAUCCGAUCCCCCACUCAAGAAUUAUAAUCUUUUACUUCCUUUGCUAUAUAAAGUCAUCAUGAUGCCAAGCUUACAGUCACUCUAUAAUUGAAGCAUAUACAGUGAGAAGAAAAUGAGAGAAACAGUUUUAGAGUUGCCAAGGUUUGUUGAGUUCCGGUCACAAUAUAGCAAUAACUUCUGUGGACGAAAAUCCUAAAACAAUCCGUCUUACCAAUGUUCAUGUCAAAAGCAAUUUGUGCUUGUGGCGAUCGAGCAGAGGGACCUUAUUAUGCAUGCGUGGCUGCAGGCUACUCAGUUCGGGAUUCUGCUAACAUUAAAAAACAUCAAAUACUAGGCAGCUUCUUUGGGAAUCUGAGCAAAUAACUACCUUAUUAUCAGGUAGAGCACCUGAAUUUAUGAGGUUUAAAACAUGCAGAAUUGCCUCCACUUCCCUGCAAAUUCCACCACGCAUGUCCCCCCAUUUACUAACUGAAUAUGCCGCAUCAACCAUGCAAAUUACUGAGUAUACACUACUCCUCACUUCCCUGCAGAGAAUAGAUUCAUGUCCUUUCUGUGAUGCACAUUUAGAGCACCUAUAGGGUUUACUCUCCAGAGUGGCCCCUGCCCAAAUGACAUGAUGUUUGAAGCACUGCCCCAUUUAGCAACUCGAAUGAAUAUCAACUCCUGAAUUUUUUUUUCUUUAAUCUUUAUCUUAUUAAAGAUUUGGUCGUCUCUGGCUACCCAGAUAGACCACAGCGAAGCCGAUAUCACCAUACGCCAUACUUUGGAGAUAAAACGUGGCCUGUUCAGUUUAAGUAAGGCCAUGAGAUUGAAAUUGCUGAAGCCUGUCAUCGUGGUUUUAAGGUUCCACCAAUUACUUAUAAAAGACCAAGCCCAUUUUGCUAGUUGGCAGUCCCAAAGCAGGUGAGACGAAGUUUCUAUUUGUUGGCAGAAAACCCCGAAUUCUGCUGCUAAGGAAGUGAUUUAGAAUUAUAAAGUAUUUUUAAAUUCUCAAGUGCUCAGUUAAGUACUCAAUCACGUACGUAUGAUUUAGAAUUAUAAAGUAUUUUUAAAUUCUCAAUGUUGAAAUUUUAUCAAGAAUAUAAGACUAAAAGGUUUUUAACUUAAGAAUGUAUUUUCAGAAAAUAUUUUAUUUUCAAUAAUAAGUAACUUGAUGUAUUGUCAUAACAUAAAUUUAUCAACUAGAGUAGCUAGGAUGUUCCAAUGACAGUCUUAAAGAAUACAUGGAAGGAUGAGAAAAAUAGCAGUAAUACUUUACAUUAUUCUACGCUAUGCAUUGUGAUUUAUCAAGGAUCCGAUCCUGGCCUGGAGGAUCCUUUUUCUUUUCUGUGAAGGCAGGGAAUUGAAGUAUUUCAUCUGUCAUAAAGGGUCAUCAGAUAUAAAGCAUACAUGCUGAAAAAGUAGUAUUUGGUAGAAUUUCUCUAACAAUAUUCUUAUAUUUUAUAUUCAAUUUAACAUAAUAAUAAACUUAAAAUUAUUAAAAUUAAUUUGUAUUAUAAUAUCAAACUAUUUAAUCAGGAUUCUUAAAAUAUUUUUUUACAGCAGGUCAAGAAAAAUAGAAGCACGGCUGUAGAACUAGCUUUUCAUUGCCAAACAUGCUCUAUGUUUUGCUCUAUUUGAUAUCCAUGUGCUCAAGCAGUCGAGCAUCCGAUCCCCACUCAAGAAUUAUAAUCUUUUUCCUUUGUUUUAAAAGGUCAUCAUGAUGCCAAGCUUACGGUCAUCCUAUAAUUGAAGCAAAUACAUCUGAUAUAUGUACGGUGAGAAGAAAAUGAGUGAACUAGUUGUAGAGCUGCCAAGGUUUGUUGAGUUGCGGUCACAAUAUAGCAAUAAGUUAUUGAAAUAUGUAAAGAAAGAGGGGGAGGUGAAGGGGUUUGUCCAGUUCUCUGGCGAUCAUGUAGGAGCCCAGACGCAAAAGUGCAACAUUUGAGAAGCCCAAGAUAUUAGGCAUGCCAUCGGUGCUCCUAUAACCACCAAACACAGUUAAGUCACUCUACGAAUAACCAAAUUCAAAGUUAAUUGUGUUAGGAUCACAUCCACUAUAAAUUGACGUUAAACAAACACAAUAACAGGCACGCAAAUAAAGAACACAUACAAUAAACGUGGAAACCUCUCGAGGGAGGGUAAAAUCACAAACCACUAAAUAAGAAUGUAUUACAAGAUUGGAGUCACCCCUUACUCACACUCUAAACUUACAAGCACGACACAUGAUUUCAGUCCCAUGACAACUUGGAGAACCGUCAUUGUCACUUGACAAUUCAAGUAUCAACUUGGAGGAGGGUUUUUCUUUCAUGAUCAUCAAUCAUGAUUUAAUGAUAUAUCUCUCGCAACUUCCAUUACGCUACUAGGUUGUCUUUUCUGGGAUUCGAUGCAGUGAGCUUUGACAAAAUCAGGGUCUGAUAUGAUUGCUAACCAUGUUUUGCAAACUGAUUUGCAUCGAAGGAGUGUUGCUACAGGUAACAAAUAAAAUGUUUUGUGAGAAGACAUGAUUAGGAGUGAUUCGAAUAAUGUAACUAUAUAUGGUAGAUAAGUAGCGGAUCUUACAGCAUCUUCGAGGGGAAGAACAUGCUCAGUAGGCGUAUCAGUGUUGCAUUCUGUCAUUUUUCCAAUGAGAGCCUCUUCAAUCUCCUCAUUCUGGGAAUCCUGAUUUUGUUGAAGAAGGCAAGUAGAAUGAGAAUGGUGAAGGCAAUGGAGUUAACGAAGCAGAUUUCCAUCUUCGUAUGCGCAUGAGGCAUAUGCAACACCAUACCUAUGACUAGCAGAGCAAAAUAUGAGUUCAUUAGAUAAAUAUAGCUUCAUCAAAACUGAUAAUGAAAAUCUAGGUUUAUAAUUCUAGUGAAAAUAAAGGUUUACACUAAAACAACACUACUAGAGUCCUGCAAAUGUUUAUUAACUUCCUGCAAAUGAGAAUUGAAUGUGAAACCUAAAUUAAAACAAGUAAUACAAUGUUCUGCUAAAGCACUACAAUAUUCACAUGUUCUCUUGGAAGCUAGGAGAAUUUAUGAUUGUCCUCCAUUUUCAAUAUUGUUUUUUUUCGGUGACAGCAGAAAGUUUGCAACAAUAUCUGCAAGCACGACAUAAUUAAAAUUAAAUAAAAAAAUGAUUACCAGCAUAAAAUGUUGUCAUAUAUCAUUGAUCCACCUUUUUGGAGCAUUUUCUUCAUUAUUCGCUGCAAUUUUGUAACAUAUAUAUAUGUAUUAGAAUCAAGAUGAUAUGUCUACAAUAUCUUCUAGUUAAAAAUUUUAAGAUGCAAAUGUCAAGGGUUGGGCAAAAGUCGGGUCGGGCUAAAAGACCAUAAACAAAAGGAGAAAUAAAAUAAAAACAAUCUAAAAUCCAAAAUAGUGAGGGCUUGGGGUUGCAAUAUCUUUCAUUUGGGUCCAAAUCCAUGACCAAGUAAGAUGGCUUGAUGUCAAAAUGAAUUAUUAAAUUUACUUUAUCCCGAUUAGAGCUAGAGGAAUAUGGAAAAAUUUAAAAUACAACAAUUUGGGAUAUGAUUUCCCAAAUGGAGAUAUUAAAUCACAAAUAGAAUAAAUAUUAUCAUAAUUCUCUUACACUUUUCAACGGAACUUGAAGUAGGUUGCGAGAUCUGAGAUUGAUCGGAAGAUCCAGAAUCUGUAUUGAGUGUUUAAGCUUCCACGAAAAUCUAGAAAAUUCAUAAAAAGGCUUGAAGAAGAUGAUGAUUGAGCGUAAAUUGAGAAUAUCAAGGUGAUUUCUUAGAUCUUUAUGGAAUGGAUGCUUGAAACUGAAAAACAUAACAGUUGUCGCAUUCGAGGAAUUGUCGAAGGUAGAACCCUAAAAGUUGGAAGGGGUUUUCAAGAAGAAAAGGAUUUGAAGAAUUUUAGAGAAAGACUUUGCUAUGCUUGAGGUGAAAUGAAUUUACAUAUGUUGCACAUAUUUUAUAAAGAAGUAGUACCGGUUGUAACCGGUCAAAGAAAAGAUUACCGCUUAUAGACAGUAAAAAGGCUACGGCCCAAAUGCUUACAAGUAUGAGACCUGAUUGAGGCAAGAAGCCCACUAUAUUAAAAUUUUAAACAAGCUUCGGGAAAAUUCUAAGGAAUUCGGGAGAAUUCUUAGUAUAUAACGAAAACUAUUAACCAAAUGACCCAAGUAAAAAGAUAAUCCUGAUUAGUGGUUAUGACGAAUGAUUGUCGAUCUCGUUAAAUUAGGUGUCUGGCUUUAACUCUAAAGUCUAUUUUUAUGAAGUAUACCCUUAACCAUGUAAUUCAUUCUAUUGAGCAAAAUAAGGUUAAAAAGAAUUCGUCCGAAAAAUAUUAAAGAUCGGGCCUACAAAGUAUAGAAAUAAAUCUGGUCUGAAGGGAGGAUUUAUCCUAGUUGUGGAAAAAUUAUAACUUUCCAUGUCGAGAUGAUUGACGGUUUGAUCCAUUAAGAAGAAAAAUAAAAUAAAAUUUUUUUUUUCCAACAAAAAAAGAAGUGAAAGACCAACCCGCAUGGAGCAUUCAUCAUGGGUGUGGCUUAAUCAAGAUUUUUGGGUGGGAUUUUCUUCAUCCAGGUUCUAUCUACAGUUAAAUUCUAUUUUUUCCUAAAAAUAAAAAGAAUAUAAAAAAUAGAAUUUACAUAAGUUAUUCAAAAUUCGGUGAAAACCCCCACUUGGCAAAUAAGUAUCCCAAGCGGGAUAAAAAAAAUACACUGAGGCACAGCCUGCACAUGUUCUUACUAAAGAAUGCACGAGACACAGUUCCUCAAAAGUUUUUUUUUUUUUUUCUUUUUUACGGUAAUGACAUUAUCCACCGGGACAAUACUCGUAUAAGAGCUUCCCAGACGGUUGUAUCCACCGGGAUAAAUUGUGUUCUAUUUUUACUCUAAACAAGGCAAAUACAAAAAAGUAGCACUAAUACUUUACAUUAUUCUGCUCUAUCCAAUAUUCUUUGCUUAAGUAUCCGAUCCCCCACUCAAGAAUUAUAAUCUUUUACUUCCUUUGCUAUAUAAAGUCAUCAUGAUGCCAAGCUUACAGUCACUCUAUAAUUGAAGCAUAUACAGUGAGAAGAAAAUGAGAGAAACAGUUUUAGAGUUGCCAAGGUUUGUUGAGUUCCGGUCACAAUAUAGCAAUAACUUCUGUGGACGAAAAUCCUAAAACAAUCCGUCUUACCAAUGUUCAUGUCAAAAGCAAUUUGUGCUUGUGGCGAUCGAGCAGAGGGACCUUAUUAUGCAUGCGUGGCUGCAGGCUACUCAGUUCGGGAUUCUGCUAACAUUAAAAAACAUCAAAUACUAGGCAGCUUCUUUGGGAAUCUGAGCAAAUAACUACCUUAUUAUCAGGUAGAGCACCUGAAUUUAUGAGGUUUAAAACAUGCAGAAUUGCCUCCACUUCCCUGCAAAUUCCACCACGCAUGUCCCCCCAUUUACUAACUGAAUAUGCCGCAUCAACCAUGCAAAUUACUGAGUAUACACUACUCCUCACUUCCCUGCAGAGAAUAGAUUCAUGUCCUUUCUGUGAUGCACAUUUAGAGCACCUAUAGGGUUUACUCUCCAGAGUGGCCCCUGCCCAAAUGACAUGAUGUUUGAAGCACUGCCCCAUUUAGCAACUCGAAUGAAUAUCAACUCCUGAAUUUUUUUUUCUUUAAUCUUUAUCUUAUUAAAGAUUUGGUCGUCUCUGGCUACCCAGAUAGACCACAGCGAAGCCGAUAUCACCAUACGCCAUACUUUGGAGAUAAAACGUGGCCUGUUCAGUUUAAGUAAGGCCAUGAGAUUGAAAUUGCUGAAGCCUGUCAUCGUGGUUUUAAGGUUCCACCAAUUACUUAUAAAAGACCAAGCCCAUUUUGCUAGUUGGCAGUCCCAAAGCAGGUGAGACGAAGUUUCUAUUUGUUGGCAGAAAACCCCGAAUUCUGCUGCUAAGGAAGUGAUUUAGAAUUAUAAAGUAUUUUUAAAUUCUCAAGUGCUCAGUUAAGUACUCAAUCACGUACGUAUGAUUUAGAAUUAUAAAGUAUUUUUAAAUUCUCAAUGUUGAAAUUUUAUCAAGAAUAUAAGACUAAAAGGUUUUUAACUUAAGAAUGUAUUUUCAGAAAAUAUUUUAUUUUCAAUAAUAAGUAACUUGAUGUAUUGUCAUAACAUAAAUUUAUCAACUAGAGUAGCUAGGAUGUUCCAAUGACAGUCUUAAAGAAUACAUGGAAGGAUGAGAAAAAUAGCAGUAAUACUUUACAUUAUUCUACGCUAUGCAUUGUGAUUUAUCAAGGAUCCGAUCCUGGCCUGGAGGAUCCUUUUUCUUUUCUGUGAAGGCAGGGAAUUGAAGUAUUUCAUCUGUCAUAAAGGGUCAUCAGAUAUAAAGCAUACAUGCUGAAAAAGUAGUAUUUGGUAGAAUUUCUCUAACAAUAUUCUUAUAUUUUAUAUUCAAUUUAACAUAAUAAUAAACUUAAAAUUAUUAAAAUUAAUUUGUAUUAUAAUAUCAAACUAUUUAAUCAGGAUUCUUAAAAUAUUUUUUUACAGCAGGUCAAGAAAAAUAGAAGCACGGCUGUAGAACUAGCUUUUCAUUGCCAAACAUGCUCUAUGUUUUGCUCUAUUUGAUAUCCAUGUGCUCAAGCAGUCGAGCAUCCGAUCCCCACUCAAGAAUUAUAAUCUUUUUCCUUUGUUUUAAAAGGUCAUCAUGAUGCCAAGCUUACGGUCAUCCUAUAAUUGAAGCAAAUACAUCUGAUAUAUGUACGGUGAGAAGAAAAUGAGUGAACUAGUUGUAGAGCUGCCAAGGUUUGUUGAGUUGCGGUCACAAUAUAGCAAUAAGUUAUUGAAAUAUGUAAAGAAAGAGGGGGAGGUGAAGGGGUUUGUCCAGUUCUCUGGCGAUCAUGUAGGAGCCCAGACGCAAAAGUGCAACAUUUGAGAAGCCCAAGAUAUUAGGCAUGCCAUCGGUGCUCCUAUAACCACCAAACACAGUUAAGUCACUCUACGAAUAACCAAAUUCAAAGUUAAUUGUGUUAGGAUCACAUCCACUAUAAAUUGACGUUAAACAAACACAAUAACAGGCACGCAAAUAAAGAACACAUACAAUAAACGUGGAAACCUCUCGAGGGAGGGUAAAAUCACAAACCACUAAAUAAGAAUGUAUUACAAGAUUGGAGUCACCCCUUACUCACACUCUAAACUUACAAGCACGACACAUGAUUUCAGUCCCAUGACAACUUGGAGAACCGUCAUUGUCACUUGACAAUUCAAGUAUCAACUUGGAGGAGGGUUUUUCUUUCAUGAUCAUCAAUCAUGAUUUAAUGAUAUAUCUCUCGCAACUUCCAUUACGCUACUAGGUUGUCUUUUCUGGGAUUCGAUGCAGUGAGCUUUGACAAAAUCAGGGUCUGAUAUGAUUGCUAACCAUGUUUUGCAAACUGAUUUGCAUCGAAGGAGUGUUGCUACAGGUAACAAAUAAAAUGUUUUGUGAGAAGACAUGAUUAGGAGGGAUUCGAAUAAUGUAACUAUAUAUGGUAGAUAAAUAGCGGAUCUUACAGCAUCUUCGAGGGGAAGAACAUGCUCAGUGGGCGUAUCAGUGUUGCAUUCUGCCAUUUUUCCAAUGAGAGCCUCUUCAAUCUCCUCAAUCUGGGAAUCCUGAUUUUGUUGAAGAAGGCAAGUAGAAUGACAAAAGGUGAAGGCAAUGGAGUUGACGAAGCAGAUUUCCGUCUUCGUAUGCGCAUGAGGCAUAUGCAACACCAUACCUAUGACUAGCAGAGCAAAAUAUGAGUUCAUGAGAUAAAUAUAGCUUCAUCAAAACUGAU
rnacentral:lncRNA from 1 species